ACUCACUUAGGGCUGAGUUCUCAGGGGGAAGCAGCCUUGUAAUCUAGAAGAGAAUGAGAGUGUUUGUGUUUCUGCUCUGUCUGGUGACAGCUCCAGAAGGUGUCCUGUCAGAGUUGAAGCUACAGGAGUCGGGCCCAGGACUUUUGAGACCAUCAGAGACAUUGUCUCUCUCCUGUUCUGUCUCUGGUGCACCCAUAUCUAGUGAUAACGGUUGGCACUGGAUCCGUCAGCCAACAGGAAAGGGGCUGGAGUGGAUUGGAAGAAUAUAUGGUAGUAAUGGUAAUACUUACUACAGUCCAUCUAUGAAGAACCGAGCCACCAUCUCAAAAGACACAUCCAAGAAUCAGUUCUCCCUGAAGCUGAGCUCUGUGACAGCUGAGGACACAGCCAUGUAUUACUGUGCAAGAGACACAGUGAUGGGAACCUUCAUUGUAACCAUGGUGUGUCUUAGUGUCUUCAGGCAAUCUGAAUUUUUGAAAAUUAAGGAAAUGUUCAUAUGUACUUCAGGAAUGAAGUACAGGAAUAGCGAGGACCGCUAG